UUGUAGUCCUGAUGAUGAGGAGUCGGUCCUCCCCGGUGAAAUUUUUUAACGGCCGCGGUACUCUGACCGUGCAAAGGUAGCAUAAUCAUUUGCCUUAUAAUUGAAGGCUGGUAUGAAUGGUUUGACGAGAAUAUAACUGUCUCUUUACAAUUUGAUAGAAUUUUAUAUUUAGGUGAAAAAGCCUUAAUUUAAUUAAAAGACAAGAAGACCCUAUCGAGCUUAAGAGAAAUUAGCAGAUGUAUAGAUUUUUGGUUAAAAAAUAUAACUGUUAAACAUUUUUGGUUGGGGCGACUGAGGAACAUGAGAAGCUUCCUUUUAUAAUCUUUUAUAUACCAAUUAUUGAUCCACAGUUAGUGAUUAAAGGAAUUAGUUACCGUAGGGAUAACAGCAUAAUCUUUUUUGAGAGUUCUUAUCGAAAAAAGGGUUUGUGACCUCCAUGUUGGACCAGAGUAUCCUAAAAAUGUAGAAGUCUUUUAGGGUUGGUCUGGUCGACCAUUAAAAUUCUA
rnacentral:rRNA from 1 species